AAGGACCAUCUCUACAGUACUUACGUUGUUCCUCGAUUCAAAUGUAGACAAUUUGUCAAACCGCGUACAAAAUCUGCAAAAACUACGUUAAAAUGUUUGAAGUUUUGUUAAGAUUCGGAUCGUAGAGUGAUAUACGACUAGUAAAGAUUUAGAGAAUCAUCGAUUGGUAAACAGACAAUAAAACGAACAGCUCAGGAUGUACUUUGAAACCCUAAUUUUGGUACACACUGUCUUAUUCAGUCGUAUUAUGGCAUUCCCUAAUUUGGCCGCCAAUGGUACAGCGAUUCAAAGUAGUGUUUACCUAAAUAAUCAUAAGUCUUAUGGUGCAUCGAAAGUAGUUGAUGGAGAUAGAAAUCAAGUUUUUACAGAUGGAAGCUGUUGUCAUACUAAUGUAGGUCCGUCAUCAGCAUGGUGGAGCCUUGACCUUGGAUAUUCAGCAUACAUACAUAGAGUUGUUUUGUA